GGGAUUGUGGCUCAGUGGUAGAGUGCUCACCUAGUAUGCGUGAGGCACUGGGUUCGAUCCUCAGCACCA
rnacentral:tRNA from 1 species